rnacentral:lncRNA from 1 species
UUUGUGCACGUCUAGUUUUCGGUUUGUUGCAAUUAUUACUAUUGUUAAGUGUAUUCGUUUGUAAAACUAGUACUUUUCCAAAUAAUUAUUGUUAAUAGAAAUGUUCUUCAACAAGAAUAUCGAUCAAUCAGUUUUCCACACAGUGCAAUCUCAAAGCUGAAUGAAAUCAAUACAUUCUUCAAUGAGAAUAUCAACGAAGCGACUAAUAUGAACGAGUAUGUAAAGUUUCCAGUACAGGUGUCCUCACUAAUUUAUGGUCGUACCAACUGCGAGUAGGAAGACAGUUUAACGAGGAAUCGCCGUGAUUAAGCGGAAAAAAGACAUUCAUUUUGGCGAAAACUUUCAUUGUUUGUCGCCUUUGAUAUAUACGCCGGCAAAGGAAGUUACAUAAUGGCUGCGUUGGGUUUUGUUGCUUGAUUGUGAGGCUUGUUUAUAAGAUGU